rnacentral:rRNA from 1 species
UACAGAGGAUGCAAGCGUUGUCCGGAAUUAUUGGGCGUAAAGAGCUCGUAGGCGGUCUGUCGCGUCGGCUGUGAAAACCUGGGGCUCAACUCCGGGCCUGCAGCCGAUACGGGCUGACUAGAAUUCGGUAGGGGAGACUGGAAUUCCUGGUGUAGCGGUGAAAUGCGCAGAUAUCAGGAGGAACACCGGUGGCGAAGGCGGGUCUCUGGGCAGUAACUGACGCUGAGGAGCGAAAGCGUGGGGAGCAAACAGG